GCCAUCCUAGCUCAUCUGGUAGAGCAAUUCAUUCGUAAUGAAUAGGUGCCGAGUUCGAGUCUCGGGGAUGGCUCCC
rnacentral:tRNA from 4 species